UCGUCAUCACUUCCAAAUUCCACAAUCAUCACCACCAUUCUCCGCCGGAGACACCUUUCGACGGAAUACCUUCUCCUGUUCCUGUUCCUGUUCAGAUCCCUGUGCCGGAGACACUUCAGAUCUCUGAAACCGCUACUCUAACGAACUACAACGGCUUCGUUUCUGAAGCUUCUGAAGGUUACCGUUAUGAACUGAAAACCGAUGAAACAGUUGCAGUAAGUAACGAAUCUAACGAUUCUGUUGCUUACGUCGCCGAUGAGAUU
rnacentral:lncRNA from 1 species